UCUUAGAUGACUGAGUUAUAAGUGUUAGACUUUUAAUCUAAAAACGGCGUAAUUAUUAACACGCCUCUAAGAG
rnacentral:tRNA from 1 species